UACGUAGGGAGCGAGCGUUGUCCGGAAUUACUGGGCGUAAAGGGUGCGUAGGCGGCGCUGCAAGUCAGAUGUGAAAUCCCCGGGCUUAACCCGGGUUCUGCAUUUGAAACUGCAGUGCUUGAGUGCAGGAGAGGAAAGCGGAAUUCCUAGUGUAGCGGUGAAAUGCGUAGAUAUUAGGAAGAACACCAGUGGCGAAGGCGGCUUUCUGGACUGUUACUGACGCUGAGGCACGAAAGCGUGGGGAG
rnacentral:rRNA from 1 species